rnacentral:tRNA from 2 species
GGAGAGAUCGCAUAGUGGCCUAGUGCACACGCUUGGAAAGCGUGCAUACCGCAAGGUAUCGCGAGUUCGAAUCUCGCUCUCUCCGCCA